rnacentral:rRNA from 1 species
UACCAGCACCCCGAGUGGUCGGGACGAUUAUUGGGCCUAAAGCAUCCGUAGCCGGUCUUGCAAGUCUUCCGUUAAAUCCACCUGCUUAACAGAUGUGCCGCGGAGGAUACUAUAAGACUAGGAGGCAGGAGAGGCAAGCGGUACUCAGUGGGUAGGGGUAAAAUCCGUUGAUCCAUUGAAGACCACCAGUGGCGAAGGCGGCUUGCCAGAAUGCGCUCGACGGUGAGGGAUGAAAGCUGGGGGAGCAAACAGG